GUCUGGGGGGUGAAGAGAAGAGAGUCUGCUGUAAACUGAGCGCACAGACUAGUGGAUUUAUCCCCUGAAGAUGCUGAAAGACAGAGGCAAUCCCAUGUACCUACGAGGGAAGGAUGGCCAGCCACACAGGAGGGUGCUUUUUUAUUAAGGAGGCUGUGCUGACCGAAAGCAUUUGGCCAAUUCAGAAUGAAGCGCAUGAUUGCCAAAACAAACCUACGCUUCUUCUGGAGUGGGCUUGUCAAGGAUGUGGACAGCUUGGCAAGUGAAAUAACCUUUUGUUUAUCAAUCACAUUCUAUUAUAUCUGAAAUGAUUAGGAUUUCAAUGAAUGUCAUAUCAGAGAGCACACGGUGUUUCAAUGUGACUUUGUGCUAAAAGGUCAGUACUUGUCUAGCCUGCCAGAAGUUAAGUUUGAGAGGUUGAAGACUGUUGCGCCAGAGUUGAAGCCCAUCAAAGUUGUUUCACCAUGAUCGGGGUGGACUUCAUCGGACCCUUCACUAAAUCCAGGAAUGGAAACCGCUAGUGUCUGACGGUGACCAAUCACUUUACCAAGUGGGUGGAAGCAAUAUCCAUUAAGGACAAGACUGGCGAGGCCACCUCCCAAGGUGAUGGUCAUCUUCAACACCCACAGUUCUCCUGAGGCCAUCUUGAGUAAAACAAGGUUUUGGAUGAACGGACCAACCAGACCCUCAAGACUGCCAUGGGCAAGUCCCUGGACAGGUACCAGGAACGGUGAGAGGACAACCUAAUUCUCUUUGCACACAACAGCAGCGUCCAGGCCUCCACAGAGUGGAGGAGAAACAGAAGAGCAACUGGAGGAGAUUCAAGAAGGGGACCAAGUGCCUUGACAUCCGGGUAAAUAACUUGGUUUGGUAGAAGGACGAAAGGAAGGCGAGACCUGGGAAACCUCGCUUUCGCUCCUAGCUGGGGUCACCAUCUGUUAAGGGUUAACUCGGCGGAAGCCAGCAAUCUUCUCCAGUUGGAGUGGAUGGAUGCACCACCACUGAAAGCCCUGACACCCUACACUUCGGCGAAGCCCAUGAGACAAAACAUGUUAAGCUUUGCUUGACAUUUGAGAAAGCUUAUAAAAAUGUCACUCCUUAAUUUACCUCUCCAAAUGACUUUAGGGCAAUCGAUUAUCAAUACCCAGGAGGUAUCUCAACCAACAGAGCCAUUUAGUUUGUAUCAGUCUGAUUCUCUGUGCUCUGAGUAGGCGGGGUAACCAGCUUGAGGUAGGAUAUACCUUCAAAAAGGGUUCAAGAUUACACAUCUUCCAUUUGUAACACUGCACUAAUCCAUGACAUUAAAUGUAACCUGUGUGUUUGCUUGUUUAUGUCUCUGUCUCCUACUCUGUUCCUUUUACUCUGCUCCUGUUCUCCAGGACCUAGGGGUUCUGCCUAACAACCAGACGUGGAUCCAACUGAUAUGCUUCAUUAUCAACCACUCUACAACUUUUCAUUACAUCUACAGCGACCGUUGUCAUUACCUGCUAAGAAAGUUUUCUUGCUCCAUCAUACUGGGCACAUAAUAUGUGAGAUACACAGAUUAACUCAAAACACUAGCACUGCAAACACUCAGUGCCUGGACUUUGUAGUCUCCCUCUUCAAGUCCCCCUUCUGAGACUGGAUGCCUGUUGAGAACAAGUGACAGGCAGAACCUCCCACUCACACAGCACCCACCUCCUCUCUAUUCCACACACCAGAAUUCACUAUUUCAGUCUAUGACUGCCAUGUGAGUGUUCCAAACAAAUGUGGUGAAAAUAAAUGAAUGACAGCUGUACCCAACAAA